GAUGAACGCUGGCGGCGUGCUUAACACAUGCAAGUCGAACGAAGCACUUUACUUGAUUUCCUUCGGGGAUGAUUGUUCUGUGACUGAGUGGCGGACGGGUGAGUAACGCGUGGAUAACCUGCCUCACACAGGGGGAUAACAGUUGGAAACGACUGCUAAUACCGCAUAAGCGCACAGCACCGCAUGGUGCAGUGUGAAAAACUCCGGUGGUGUGAGAUGGAUCCGCGUCUGAUUAGCUGGUUGGCGGGGUAACGGCCCACCAAGGCGACGAUCAGUAGCCGGCCUGAGAGGGCGACCGGCCACAUUGGGACUGAGACACGGCCCAGACUCCUACGGGAGGCAGCAGUGGGGAAUAUUGCACAAUGGGGGAAACCCUGAUGCAGCGACGCCGCGUGAGCGAUGAAGUAUUUCGGUAUGUAAAGCUCUAUCAGCAGGGAAGAUAAUGACGGUACCUGACUAAGAAGCUCCGGCUA
rnacentral:rRNA from 1 species